AGCGCAGGUGGUUUAUUAAGUCUGGUGUAAAAGGCAGUGGCUCAACCAUUGUAUGCAUUGGAAACUGGUAGACUUGAGUGCAGGAGAGGAGAGUGGAAUUCCAUGUGUAGCGGUGAAAUGCGUAGAUAUAUGGAGGAACACCGGUGGCGAAAGCGGCUCUCUGGCCUGUAACUGACACUGAGGCUCGAAAGUGUGGGUAGCAAACA
rnacentral:rRNA from 1 species